AGCUUUGCGCAGUGGCAGUAUCGUAGCCAAUGAGGUUUAUCCGAGGCGCGAUUAUUGCUAAUUGCAUUUUUAAAAUAUGUAUGAGAAAACUAGAAGGUUUUAAAAAUCUCUCAAUCAUAUACUCCUCUUCAAGUAU